AUUCUUGGAGUUUAGUUUUAGUAUAAAAAGAAUCAUUUCAAAAAUUCUAUUGGAACAAAAGAAUGUUUCAAAUGAAUCCAAUUGAAUGUAAAAGAGGCCGUGCUGGGCCCUCGGGAGGUGGUGGAAAGCAGAAUUCAAUACGUACAGCUAUCAGACAUCACCAUCAACCACUGCAUUUCAAUGUCCACUGUUUAAUACUAGUGAGAGUUAGAUGUGUAUGUCAUCCAUCGUAUCAGUGCUCUUGCUCAAGAACUGGUGUAAUUAGAUGUUACUUCCUGCUACAUGUAGCGGGAAUGUUCAACAGCCAGGUCACUAAAUCAGAUGUCGCGGUUCGCUAGAAGAUUACCCACAUGACCAACAAAAUCUGACCAAUCACGACUUCGCCUACAACUGGUUCCAGCAACAAUACCAUCUUUUCGUGCCUUUUUCUCUGAGCCUAUCCAUCAGUGUAUAUUCCGUACAUCUUAACUACCUGACAAAGAGCACUGACAGAUGCCAUAUGAGAUGGCCAACAAUGACGGAAGACAACAACUGACAACACAAAGAACAUUACAAGCAGUUUAGCACACUAACUCCUGCUACAACAACACCAAGAACAACAACAUUGGAA